CACAAAAGGGGGGGAUUAAAGAUAGUCUGUGUGGGUUUGUUGGAGACUUGAGAGAGAUUUCAACCUGAAGAAUGGAGGGAAAGCAAGCUGGAUCUUCUCUAGAUUCGUUGAUUUCUUCCUUCAACAAACGAGUCUCCGAGUUGCAGGAACUCGUCAUCGCCCGGAACAUGUAUCCGGCGAGCAGUGUUCCGGAUUUAACGGCGAUCGACACGGCGUUGAGCUCGAUGGAGCUUCAGGUGCAGUCCAUCAAGGAUCGGCUUCGUGAAGAGACCGAAGCUAUUCCAAAAGCCAAGAAACUUAUUGAGGCAUCGCUGAAACAACAAGAGAAGCUGCAGAGGAUGUCCGUUUACGCGCCGUCACACUUUCCUGAUAAGACUACAAUGUUGAAUUCUGAUAUAAACAGAUGUUUGCUCCAAGAAAAUGUCAAGAAGCAUGAACAGAGUUCUGCUCUUAGGUCUUUGAAAUCUGAGGAGGAUGCACCUGUUCUACCCAAGGAGAAGAAAGGUCGUGGGUCUCCUCCGCUUUGGCACAUAACUGUUGAUGAGCUCGAUUCCCUCUCGUCAUACAUGAGAGGUAGGCUCACCCUAGAGAAAGUGAAUGCGGCUAUCAAUGACAUGGUUUCAUACGCUGAAGCAAAUGCUCAUCUUAUUUCAGCUCCAAAACAAAAGCUUGCUGAAAACCUCUGGGAGAAAGCACUGAAACUGCGAGACAUUGUAACAUCCGGUGCACUGAAGGGAAAACACUUCUUUCUUGAAACUGACAUGAAGGGGCCAAUGUUGAAGCUAGACAACACAGGCAAAGCAAUACUUACAGUUCUUAGACACCUUGGUCGUGUUAGUGAGACUCGCAUUGGUCAAAACCGCGUCAUCAUUCUUAUGAAGCCUAAUUAGAGAAGAAACCAACUUUUCUCAAGUUUAUGUAGCCACAUCAAUUUAUUGCUUAUCUGAAGCCUCCUUUAGAAGAGAACGAGCAAAUACAAAGAGGAAGUAAGAAAUGGAAUGGAGAAUGUGGUCCAGAGAAGCAGGAGAGCAAGGACUAUAUAUGCCUCAGAAACAUUCACAAAUACACGUUUAUUGAUAAUAUGUCUGUCACAAUCGUUUUGUCUUCUUUUUCAUAACAACCAAUAAUUUGUUCGUGCAGAGACACGAAAAACAUUAUGCAUAAAGACAACUCUAAAUAUCAGACCCUCUUAUCGCA